UACGUAGGAGGCAAGCGUUGUCCGGAUUUAUUGGGUUUAAAGGGUGCGUAGGCGGCCCUAUAAGUCAGUGGUGAAAGCCGACAGCUUAACUGUCGAACUGCCAUUGAUACUGUAGGGCUUGAGUACAAAUGAGGUAGGCGGAAUUGAUGGUGUAGCGGUGAAAUGCUUAGAUACCAUCAAGAACACCGAUUGCGAAGGCAGCUUACUAAGAUGUAACUGACGCUGAGGCACGAAAGUGCGGGGAUCAAACAGG
rnacentral:rRNA from 1 species